rnacentral:rRNA from 1 species
UACGAAGGGGCUAGCGUUGCUCGGAAUCACUGGGCGUAAAGCGCACGUAGGCGGAUUGCUAAGUCAGGGGUGAAAUCCUGGAGCUCAACUCCAGAACUGCCCUUGAUACUGGCGGUCUCGAGUCCGGGAGAGGUGAGUGGAACUGCGAGUGUAGAGGUGAAAUUCGUAGAUAUUCGCAAGAACACCAGUGGCGAAGGCGGCUCACUGGCCCGGUACUGACGCUGAGGUGCGAAAGCGUGGGAGCGAACAGG